rnacentral:ncRNA from 1 species
CUCAGUGCCCGCAGGAAGAGAUAUUCCGUGAGUAGUGGCGAGCGAAAGCGGACGAGGCUAAACCGGGGGGUGUGUGACAGCCGGCGGGCGUUGCACCCUCGGGGUCGUGGGACCUGCUGACCAGCUCUGCCGGGCUGGUGGGGAGUGAGAAAGUCGCGGUGUAGUCGAACGGUCUGGGGAAGGCCGGGCACAGUGGGUGAGACCCCCGUAGACGAAACGUCGUGGCCUCCUUGCAGGGAUCCCGAGUAGCACGGGGCCCGUGAAAUCCCGUGUGAAUCUGCCAAGACCACUUGGUAAGCCUAAAUACUACCUGGUGACCGAUAGCGGACAAGUACCUGAGGGAAAGGUGAAAAGUACCCCGGGAGGGGAGUGAAAUAGUACCUGAAACCGGAUGCUUACAAUCCGUCGGAGCCUCCAUGGCUGGGGGUGACGGCGUGCCUUUUGAAGAAU